rnacentral:rRNA from 1 species
GGCUAGAGUUUGAUCAUGGCUCAGGACGAACGCUGGCGGCGUGCCUAAUACAUGCAAGUAGAACGCUGAAAAAAGGAGCUUGCUUCUUUUGGAUGACUUGCGAACGGGUGAGUAACGCGUAGGUAACCUGCCUUGUAGCGGGGGAUAACUAUUGGAAACGAUCGCUAAUACCGCAGAGCAGCUUUUGACACAUGUUACAAACUUGAAGGAUGCAUUUGCAUCACUACCAGAUGGACCUGCGUUGUAUUAGCUACUAGGUAGGGUAACGGCCUACCUAGGCGACGAUACAUAGCCGACCUGAGAGGGUGAUCGGCCACACUGGGACUGAGACACGGGCCACACUCCUACGGGAGGCAGCCCUACGGAAUCUUCGGCAAUGGGGGCAACCCUGACCGACCAACGCCUCAUGAGUGAACAACGCUUUCGGAUCGAAAAGCUCUGUUGCAAGAGAAUAAUGUGUGUGAGAGUGGAAAGUUCACACAGUGACGGUCACUUACCAGAAAGGGACGGCUAACUACUUGCCAGCAGCCGCGGGAAUACAUACGUCCCGAGCGUUGUCCGGAUUUAUUGGGCGUAAAGCGAGCGCAGGCGGUUUAAUAACUCUGAAGUUAAAGGCAGUGACUUAACCAUUGUUCGCUUUGCAGACUGUCUAAACUUGAAUGCAGAAGGUGAGAGUGGAAUUCCAUGAGUAGCGAUGAAAUGCGUAGAUAUAUGGAUGAACACCGGUGGCGAGAGCGGCUCUCUGGACUGUAACUGACGCUGAUGCUCCUAAGCGUGAGGAGCAAACGGAUGAGAUACCCAGGUGAUCCACGCCCUGACGAUCAUUGCUAAGUGUAGGACCGUUCGGGUCUUAGGCCGCAGCUCACGCUUAGCAC